rnacentral:rRNA from 1 species
UAUCCGAAUUUCGUGUGGAACACCGGCGCCAAAGAGGGUGAUAGCCCCGUAGGAGACGCAGUGAAAGAUGAUUUUCAGGACCCAAGAGUAGCGUGCAUUGGAUAUUGCGCGUGAAUGUGGGAGGUACUAACUUCCAACUCUAAAUACAAACCGAGACCGACAGCGCAAUAGUAGCGUGAGCGAAAGUUGUAAAGUAUCCCUGACGGGAGAUUAAUAAGAUCCUGAAAUCAGGUGGUAACAGACUGGUAUGGCAUGCAAGGGAUUAAGCGGUUACACCGCCGCACCGAUGUCAUACCGUUCGAUUCGAAAAUUGAUCCGUGGAGUUUCUAUCAUUGGCGAGGUUAAGUGCGUAAGUACGAAGCCGUAGGGAAACCGAUAGCCCGCAGCGCAAGCGAGGGGCAAGGUGUGCUCGCCUGGAGUCAAUGGUUGGAUACCCGAAGCCGGUCGAUCUAUGCCUGGGCAGGGUGAAGCCUUUCGGAAGAAGGGUGGAGGCCCGAACCAGUACUGAUGUGCAAAUCGUUUGGAUGACCUGGGUAUAGGGGCGAAAGACCAAUCUAGACCGGAAAUAGCUGGUUCCUCUCGAAACUGCUCGCAGGCAGACCUCAGCUGAGACGGGGCAUGCGGUAGAGCACUGAUUGCGUGUUUAGGAAGCGAAAGUUUUCGGCAUGCUGUCAAACUCCGAAUGUGUGUCCGUUGUAGAAGCUGGGCAGUGAGGGCAUCGGGGUAAGCUUGAUGUCCAUAAGGAAAACAAACCAGACCAAAGUUAAGGUCCCUAAGUAAUAGCUAAGUGUUAAAGAACAAAUAGUGUUUAACAGCAUAGACAGCUGGAAGGUUGGCUUAGAGGCAGCCAUCCUUUAAAGAGUUCGUAACAGAUCACCAGUCAAGUUCUUGAGCCUAGAAAAUGGACGGGACUAAGUUGUUCACCGAUACUUUGGGCCACCGAAAGGUGAUGCGGUAGAGAGGCGUCGUGCGCGGGUGGAAGUGGGGCCGAGAGGUCCUGUGGACCGCGUUCGAAUGAUAAUCAUGGAAAGAGUAGUAGCGUAGAUGGGUGAGAAUCCCAUCCGCCGGAGGGGCUAGGGUUCCUCGACGAUGUUCAUCAGUCGAGGGUUAGUCGGUCCUAAGGUUCCCCCUAACAGGAGGAAUCGAAAGGGAAGCAGGUUAAAAUUCCUGCACCAAUUCAUAUUUUGUCCAGUUCCUGACACAUCGGGUCUUGUGGAGCACUCUUGUCGGAGUGUUGCCUUGAGCAAUAAAUUUGUGGAGUACCGUAAUGGUGAGAAGCAAACUAAGCUCUUGGGAGGCGGAGUAUUUCGCUUCUGCGUUAGCCUGGUGUCCGUGAAAAGGGAGCUGGAGCCGUAUGAGUUGUCCGUACCGAGAUCUGACACAGGUGCCCCUAGGUGAGUAGCCUAAGGCGUCGCGGCAGAAUCCGGGCGAGGGAAUUCGGCAAAUUAGCCCCGUACCUUUGGUAUAAGGGGUGCCAGCUCUGAAGAGAGCUGGUCGCAGUGACUAGGGAGCUCCGACUGUUUAUUAAAAACACAGGUGGCUGCUAGUCCGUAAGGAUGUGUAUAGCCGCUGAAUCCUGCCCAGUGGCAGUAUCUGAAACCAGGUUUCAACCUGACGAAGGACUGCUAAACGGCGGGGGUAACUAUGACCCUCUUAAGGUAGCGUAAUACCUUGUCGCUUAAUUGGCGACUUGCACGAACGGCCUAACGAGAGCUCUACUGUCCCCGCCCGGAGCCCGAUGAAAUUGACUUACUGGCGCACAGUCCAGUACGUCCCAGCCGCAAGCGAAGACCCCGUGGAGCUUUACUGCAACCUGCCGUUGUGGCACGAGUUGUUAUGUGUAGCGUAGACGGGAGACAUUACACAGGUGCGAGCGCUAGCUCGUCGCCGAGUCACCGAUGAAACACCGUCCUUUUCGAUUCGUCCCACUCACCUCUUAGGAGGAACCCCGGUAGGCGGGCAGUUUGGGUGGGGCGCCACUCCCUCGAAAAAAUAACAAGGGAGCCCAAAGGUCAGCUUAGGUAGGUCAGGAAUCUACCGUUAAGUGCAAGGGCAAAAGCUGGCUUGACGUGGUUUGGCAACACAACAAACCACGAUGUGAAAGCAGGGCCUAGCGAACCAACCAGCGCCGUUAGUAGGUGCGGUUGAUAACAGAAAAGUUACCCCGGGGAUAACUGAGUUGUCUGGAGCAAGAGCCCACAUCGACCUCCAGGCUUGCUACUUCGAU